rnacentral:rRNA from 1 species
GCCCAGACUCCUACGGGAGGCAGCAGUGGGGAAUAUUGCACAAUGGGGGAAACCCUGAUGCAGCGACGCCGCGUGAGCGAUGAAGUAUUUCGGUAUGUAAAGCUCUAUCAGCAGGGAAGAAAAUGACGGUACCUGACUAAGAAGCCCCGGCUAACUACGUGCCAGCAGCCGCGGUAAUACGUAGGGGGCAAGCGUUAUCCGGAUUUACUGGGUGUAAAGGGAGCGUAGACGGCUGUGCAAGCCAGAUGUGAAAGCCCGGGGCUCAACCCCGGGACUGCAUUUGGAACUGUGUGGCUGGAGUGUCGGAGAGGCAGGCGGAAUUCCUAGUGUAGCGGUGAAAUGCGUAGAUAUUAGGAGGAACACCAGUGGCGAAGGCGGCCUGCUGGACGAUGACUGACGUUGAGGCUCGAAAGCGUGGGGAGCAAACAGGAUUAGAUACCCCCGUAAUG